AGAGUUGAUCAUGGCUCAGGAUGAACGCUAGCUACAGGCUUAACACAUGCAAGUCGAGGGGCAGCAUGAUCUAAGCUGCUAGAUGAUGGCGACCGGCGCACGGGUGAGUAACGCGUAUCCAACCUUCCCUAUAGUAGAGGAUAGCCCGGCGAAAGUCGGAUUAAUACUCUAUGUUUUCCAAUGCAGACAUCUAAGUUGGAACAAAGGUUUACCGCUAUAGGAUGGGGGAUGCGUCUGAUUAGAUAGUAGGCGGGGUAACGGCCCACCUAGUCGACGAUCAGUAGGGGUUCUGAGAGGAAGGUCCCCCACAUUGGAACUGAGACACGGUCCAAACUCCUACGGGAGGCAGCAGUGAGGAAUAUUGGUCAAUGGGCGAGAGCCUGAACCAGCCAAGUAGCGUGCAGGAUGACGGCCCUAUGGGUUGUAAACUGCUUUUAUCGGGGGAUAAAGUGAGGGACGUGUCCCUUAUUGUAGGUACCCGAUGAAUAAGGACCGGCUAAUUCCGUGCCAGCCGCUGC
rnacentral:rRNA from 1 species